rnacentral:tRNA from 1 species
GUGUCGGUAGUUCAACGGCCAGAACCCCGGGUUGUGAUUCCGGUAGCGGCGGGUUCGAUUCCCCCCUGACACCCCA